AGCAGCCGCGGUAAUUCCAGCUCCAAUAGCGUAUAUUAAAGUUGUUGCGGUUAAAAAGCUCGUAGUUGGAUUUCGGGAUCAAUACGUCGGUCGUGCUUUCGGGUACGUACUGGCGUCAUUGGUUUCUCCUUUCUGACGAACCAUGAUGUCAUUAAUUUGGUGUUAUGGGGAGUUAGGACUGUUACUUUGAAAAAUUGAGUGUUUAAAGCAAGCUAACGCUUGAAUACAUUAGCAUGGAAUAAUGAAUAGGACGUUCGAUCCUAUUUUGUUGGUUCUAGGAUUGACGUAAUGAUUAAUAGGGAUAGUUGGGGCAUUAGUAUUCAAUUGU
rnacentral:rRNA from 1 species